GGAUCMUUGCUCUGAGCAUCGACGUCUUCCCGUUCGCGCCCUUUCAUUCCCGGUCCAAGGGCAGCAUUUGCCUUGACCGUCCGUCGGGUUUCCUGUGUUGCAUACCUAGUGCGAUGGUAUUCGUUUGUAAAAAUCGUCCCUCGUUCGUCUUGUGAUGCCCGUUUCGACGGGUGCUUCACGGACGAGCCGCGUAGCGCCCGUCGCGGCCCACCUCGCCCGCGUUGAUCGUGCGUCGUGUGUGGCCCGCGACGGCAUGCUCGUGCUCACGGAUGCAGUACCCGUUGAGGGUACGGGGCUACGGCCCCUCUCUACCCGAAACCAAGCGAUAUCUGGCGCACGACUGUCGCGGUCGCCUCGGGCGGGACGAUCCCACGGGUCGUGCCUCGCCCGGGCGGCGCCGACGUCCGCGAGGA
rnacentral:misc_RNA from 1 species